CGUUAAAACACCAAUUCCCGUAUGAUCACUGAAGUUAAGCAACGUUGAGCCAUGUCAGUACUGAGAUGAGUGACCGCUUGCGAAUAAUAGGGGCUGUAAG